rnacentral:rRNA from 1 species
AAUUUGGAGAGUUUGAUCCUGGCUCAGGACGAACGCUGGCGGCGUGCCUAAUACAUGCAAGUCGAGCGGACUUGAUGAAGUGCUUGCACUUCUGAUGGUUAGCGGCGGACGGGUGAGUAACACGUAGGUAACCUGCCUAUAAGACUGGGAUAACAUUCGGAAACGAAUGCUAAUACCGGAUACACGAUUUGGUCGCAUGGCYGAAUCGGGAAAGACGGAGCAAUCUGUCACUUAUAGAUGGACCUGCGGCGCAUUAGCUAGUUGGUGAGGUAACGGCUCACCAAGGCGACGAUGCGUAGCCGACCUGAGAGGGUGAUCGGCCACACUGGGACUGAGACACGGCCCAGACUCCUACGGGAGGCAGCAGUAGGGAAUCUUCCGCAAUGGACGAAAGUCUGACGGAGCAACGCCGCGUGAGUGAUGAAGGUUUUCGGAUCGUAAAGC